rnacentral:lncRNA from 1 species
UCAGCUAACUACCCUUACACCUCUCCACCACCACCGGCCUCUCCUCCCUACCAUUACAAGUCACCACCGCCUCCUUCUCCUUCUCCUCCAGUGCACUACUCACCACCUAAGCAUCCCUACCACCCUAAGUCACCACCACCUCCUGUGUACGCACCACCUAAGCAUCCCUACCACCCUAAGUCACCACCACCUCCUGUGUACCCACCACCUAAGCAUCCCUACCACCCCAAGUCACCACCACCAUCACCAAAGCCUUACCACUACAAAUCCCCACCACCACCUCCUGCUCCAGUGCACUCACCACCCCCACCUAAGGAGCCAUACCACUACAAGUCCCCACCACCACCACCCAAGAAGCCCUACCACUACAAAUCUCCCCCACCACCUCCUCCUCCAGUUCACUCACCACCACCACCCAAGGAGCCUUACCACUACAAAUCUCCACCACCACCACCCAAGAAACCUUACUAUUACAAGUCUCCUCCACCACCACCAAAGAAGCCUUACCACUACAUGUCUCCUCCCCCACCGGUGUACUCACCACCUCCACCAGUGCACUCACACCCACCACCAAAAAAGCCUUACCAUUACAAAUCUCCUCCCCCGCCAGAAUAUUCACCAGCUCCACCAGUGCACUCAACCCCACCACCAAAGAAGCCCUACCAUUACAAAUCCCCACCACCACCACCACCACACAAGAAGCCUUAUUACCCUGUUCACUCACCACCUCCACCUAAGAAGCCUUACCACUACAAAUCCCCACCACCACCUUCUCCUACUCCUCCUAAAUACUCACCACCUAAGCACCCCUACCACUACAAGUCUCCACCACCACCACCAAAGAAGCCUUACCAUUACAAGUCCCCACCACCUCCUUCUCCUACUCCCCCUAAAUACUCACCACCUAAGCACCCCUACCACUACAAGUCACCACCACCACCACCCCAAGAAGCCUUACCACUACAAGUCUCCACCACCACCACCUCCUCCAGUUCCCACACCAUCUCCACCCAAGAAACCUUACCACUACAAGUCUCCCCCACCACCCCCUCCAGUCUACAAGUCUCCUCCACCACCAGUUUACUCACCACCACCACCACCUAAGAAACCUUACAAGCCACCAACUCCUCCAGCAGUUCACCCACCACACGGUUACAUCUAUUCCUCACCCCCACCUCCUCACCACUACUAGAUAUUGAAAGUUUAAUUGCAUCAAGCUGGUAA